GCCCCGGCGAAAGUCGGAUUUAAUACCCCAUAGAAACAGGGGUCCCGCCAUGGGAAUAUUUGUUAAAGAUUCAUCGCUGAUAGAUAGGCAUGCGUUCCAUUAGGCAGUUGGCGGGGUAACGGCCCACCAAACCGACGAUGGAUAGGGGUUCUGAGAGGAAGGUCCCCCCACAUUGGUACUGAGACACGGACCAAACUCCUACGGGAGGCAGCAGUGAGGAAUAUUGGUCAAUGGCCGAGAGGCUGAACCAGCCAAGUCGCGUGAAGGAAGAAGGAUCUAUGGUCUGUAAACUUCUUUUAUAGGGGAAUAAAGUGGAGGACGUGUCCUUUUGUAUGUACCCUAUGAAUAAGCAUCGGCUAACUCCGUG
rnacentral:rRNA from 1 species